UACUGCACUUUACGACUAGCUGGAGGGGAUGGGCAAGCCAGCUCCUGCGCGGGGGAGACCCGGUUCCGGCUCAACUUGUGGUACCCCGCAGGCUGCUAGGGUGGGGAGGCGAAAGGUCACUUGGCCCGGGGAAGUACGUCCAGUGCCCCUCGCGUGCCCUUUGGGGAAGGACGAGUCGGGCCCACGAUGCCCUUAGCCAGUGGCUUAAACAUCUCCAUCCUGGGACUGGGUGCUUCCUGAAGGUGGUUACUCCAAUGAAGCUUUCGGAUAUGCACGGAAAGAAUGUGGUGCUCAUCAUACUGGCACAGCCAAGAGAUAUGGGUGUAAAUGGCUCUUGGAGAAGACACCAAAGACAGUGAGGAUCUUUGGAUCACCACAGAAUUGUAGCUCAGUGCCUAUGGCUUUGCAAACACUACACGGUCCUAUGUGAAGUCCUGUGGACGGCUUGGAGUAGAGUAUAUAGGUGUUUGAUCCAACGUUAGAAGAUUGCAUUUCAUGAGAACCAAGACAACAUCUCUAGCUGUCUGGGCCAGCAGUGUGCGUCACACCACAGAGAGCCUGCCCAGCCACUUGUUUCCGGUUCCUGUUUUUGUCUGAAAAAUGACAAAUUUUGGAAUUAAAAAUUAGUUGUAAAGACCCCAAAUGUGAUUCUUUGUAACCAAAUGAAAUGAGUCCGAGAGAGCUGAAGACACUGCCCAGGCCAAAUGACUAAGUGCAGAGCCAGACUUCCAACCCAAGUGCUGCCUUCCCAGCCAAGCUUCUCUUCUCUCCCUGCAGUGUAGAACCAUGGGCUGCUUUGCGAGGAGAGCAUGGAACUGCCCUGAGAUCAACACUUGGUCCUCUUCUAUCAACAAUUACCAAAUACGGCUAAUGAUUACAUAUUCUGGGGACCCAAAUGUCCAUCAACAAGACCAAUGGAUAAACAAAAUGUGGUAUAUCCACACAGUGGAAUAUCAUUUGGCCACAAAGAGGAAUGAAGUAGUAAUACAUGCUACAACUUGGAUGGACCUUGAAAACAUUACGUUAAGGGAAAGAAGGCAGUCGCAAGGGAUCACUAUUGUAUGAUCCCAUUCAUAUGAAAGUCCAGAAGAGGGAAAUCGGUACAGUCUGAUCUGGUUUCUUAGAGCUGAAGGUGGGGAUGGGAGCAUAGUAGCUAAAGAGUAGGGGUUUCCUUUGAGGUGGUAAAAGAGAUCUAAGAUAGACAGUGAUUCACAUAUCUGUGAAUACACUAAAAACCAUUGCAUUCUGUUCUUUAAGUGGGUAGAUUGUAUGCUAUGCAAACUAUAUCUUAAUAAAGCUUUUUUUAAAAAAUCCUCUGGGAAACGAAAAUAAAUUCUGAUUCCUGGCUUGUGCCUCAUCCCACCUCUGUCUCAACCCCCACCUCUCAGAUUCAAAUUCAGUAAAUCUGGGUUGGUUUUCUGGAAAUUUGUAUUUUGUCAAAUGUACCUUGAGUGAUUCCGGUGAAAAUCUAUGUUUGAAUAUAUCACUGACUUGGACAGGGGUUACAUCCGCCAAGAGGUAACCCAGAACUGGGCCAAACUCAGAUUAUAAUCCACAAUUUCAGGGUAGAUCUGUCUCUUUAUAACUGACAUGAUUUUCAGGGUGGCUGGUAGAAUACCAGCUGGCUCAGAGCAGGCUAAGUUACUGAAGACCAAAUCCCACGAAGUUGGCUUGGGCACUUUUUGUCCAAGAGUAAAGUAACAUCCCAUGAAAUCUGCAAGAAUGUUAUUUUACCAAAAAGUCUUGAGAUUCCUGUACAGCGUUUGUUAUACAACUUUGGUGAUCCUCUUUUCUUCAUUAUAAAUAAAUUCCAAAAUUUCUUCUUCAGUUGCUUUCUUUUUUUAACAUAGUAAAUUUGGUAACAGAGUACUCUCUUUCUGAGAGGUGGAGGUGAUGAGUGAAAGAAUUUAUUUAAUAUAGAGAAAACCUAUUAAUCCCAGGAGAGGGAAGUAUAAUAAGAAAGACGUAGUGGACAAAAGUUGUGUUUGAAAUUUUAAUGACAGGUUAGCUAAACGACCAGAAAAUAUAUUUAAAGAAUUGACACUAAACUGGAAGGGGAUGAAAUAAAUGAGCUUCUAACUAAUGUUUAACCAUAUUCCAUGAUUAUAAACAUUUAACCAGGUGCAUUUCUGGGGAUUUUUCUAUUCAUAUUGGGCCUCUGAAAAGAAGACCACAUUUUAUUCUAAAAUUACAAAUGCAUUUCAAUUUCUUUAGAAUAUGAUAUGCUUUUGCUAACUAAACAGCAUUACCUCUUAGUAGAGGUCCAAUGCUAUAAUUUGACCCCUCUGGCAAAUUAAAUACAAUUAUGCAAACUACUAGGAUUUGGGCAUAAUCUAAUUAACACGGUACAUAUUAAGCAGAUAGUCAUUUCCCUGGUUGAAAAUUAGAUUGUCUCAUUUCGUGUUUGAACCAUGUUUUAGAAAAGCAUUUUACUAUGUAAGCAAGACUUUGUUAUCUUAUGUGUUCUAUUUGCUCAGCUCCACAAUGGACAUGUUUAGAAAAAUAAAGCCAAAAUUGAAAUCUUUAA